ACGGGCUUUAUAACAUUUAAUUGUAAAUUUAUGAAGAAAUAAAGAAAAGAUAUGUGCAAAAGCACGCCUUUUAUGAAUACGAUUACGUUGGUCAGAGUUUAUGAAAAUUACUUUAUUAUAAGUUACGUUAAACACGAAGUUUGCGUAAUUAAAAUCGCGCAAUUUCGCGGACUCCGUUUUAUGAGGAUAGAAUAUUAUAACUUUUGCAAUAGCAAAAAGAGUAUCCGAAUAAAAUGUUGUAAAAUUAUUUUAUUCAGAUAUUAUUCAGGCACUGCAAAAUGUUGCGAAAUAUAUCCGGCUUAGAAGGACUUUCUUAACGUAAAAGAGACUUUUUAACGAAGAUGCAAUUUCAUAUCUACUGAAACUCAUCGUAGCGUUUCGUCAUUAAAUUAUUUCACAAGAUUUUCACAGAUUUUGACCGCGUAAUUUUUCCUUCUGAUUUCUCAGAUCGGAUGUCUAUCGGAUUUCUUUAAUUGUUCUUAUUUGUUUUUUUUUUGAAACGCAUUCUGACAUUGAAGAGAAUGAUACGCAUGCACAAAAAAAAAAAACAAUUUUGCUGAAAUAUUUAAAAAUUUAGCAAUAUAUAAAUAUGAAAAUAAUUUUUUUUUUGUUGAACUGUCAAAAUAAUUAUGUAGGACGCUAAAGCGUGACGAACAAAAAAUCUUUGAGCAACCAAUUUUUAUGUCCUACACAAUUAUCUUGAUGACCUAAACACAAAAUUAUUUUCAAAUCUCUAUCUUAAAUUUGUAGACUCUCCAGCAUACAUCAUCGUUCUUUUCGUGCAGGUCUUCUCUAAAUGAUACUUAAAUAGAGAAAUAAAAAUUUUGUAUCAUAUGAUGAAUGAUUCGAUGUCGUUUUCCAUCACGCGUUACCGUGCUCUUAGAAAUGGGGCGAUGUCUGAAGGAAACACGGUAGAAAAUGUAUAGUCGAUGCUAUACACUCGAAGAAGUUCGAAUGACCUGACGAUAUCGGAGAAGUAAUCAACUGAAACAGUAAUAACCCAUUCGUUCGAAAUUGCAUAAAUAAAAGGGAAGCCGGAGAGUGUCCGCGGGAAAGCUUGUUAGAGUCCUUAUUCGAACUUUUAAUUCCGCGCUAUCCGCUCUGUAGGGAAUGCCACCGACUUUAAUUACCAGUUUAUUCAUUAGUGACAGUUGUCGAGUUUCGACGAGUAUGUGGAUAUCUCGUAGCUGCGUAGAUCUCGCGUCGCCGCAAAUAAUGUUACGGCCGCGCCGGCGCUCGAGAGUUUCGAACUCGUUUAAACAACUUCCCCAUUGUCGUCCAUACGGCAGCGUGCGACGGAAGCGCGGAAAUAUUUUUACUUGAUUAUGGAUAGCUCGCGCGCGCGCGCGCGAUGCGAACGCGAAGACGCGGCGGCUGCCACUCAAUAUGAUUGGAGCCUUGCUCGACGAACGGACUCCUGUGGAAACAAUCGUGUGAAUUGAUUAUAUUCGAUAUUCGCGGCUGAGCUGAUGACAUGAUGAAUCGAAAAAGAUAAUGUUAUCUUUGUAAAGGAAUCGUGGGAAGAACGGAGUGGAAAAUAUGGAGGGCUAUACGAAAGCGAUUUCUUUCAAAUUACAGGAAUACGUGGACAUUAUGUAUUCCGAUUCGAGCUUUAGGAUUGUCAAUAAAGGAAUGUGUUUUAAAUCAGUUUUGUAGUCGAAUUUAUUCACAUUCUCUGAAAGAACGAUAUUAAUUAAGUCUUUAAUUGAUGAGAAAUUGCCAUUCACGAAAAAAUCUACUCUCGAAAUAUCGUGAGUUUUAUUGCCCAUUCGCGUUUGCCACAAAACUCCAUGCAUUACAUCAUUUCGACUACGCAAUUGGACUCUACUGCGAAAUCCAUCUUCAUCGCACCGGCUAUCCUGGAGCGGCAUUAUGGAGCGCCAUUGACUUCGAAAUAGCAGUAGUAAAAAUAACGCAGAGUUUAUUCGAGAACUGUGCUCCCUGAACAGUCGUACACUCUAUACUUUUAGAAAAGACAAAACGCUCUCAAUUCUGGUACCGUAAAGUAUUAGAAUUUGAUUACUUCGACUGAUUAGGAUUUACAAACGAAGGCUAUUUAGGUCGUUAAGAGAAAGUGUAUUCACGAAAUUUUAUUUGCAUAAAUUUACCAUAAUUAUAAGACGUAAAUUUCUAAAAUUUGUUAUUUGUGAGCAAACUUUGUUUUUACUUUUAAUUGCUAAAUUGGAUCGAGUCGAUAUUUAUUGUGCAACCGAUUAGCGUUUGCAAAUAGAGAUUAUUUAAGUUGUGAAGAAAAAUCUUCACGAAAUUUUAAUUAUUUGGAUAAAUAAAGCGAAAUUACGAAAUUUAUGAGAUGCGAGUUUCUAAAUCUUGUUCUUUGUGAACGAAAGUUAUUUUGUGUAUCUGUUCGAUUCGGUCGAUUUGAUAUUAAUUGUGUAAUGAAAUGUCACCGUACAAGGUGUAAGAUAAAUAUCGUGAAUACCUGCUGUGAUAAUAUACAAUGACCUAGAUAAUUUGUUGCAUGACGCGAUAUAUGGUGUCGAAAAGUAUUUCUUUAAGGUUCUCAAAGGUUUACUAAUGUCACAAGCGUAUUAUGAGAAGGUUGCCGGGAACGAUGAUUUACGAUGGCAAUAACGUGGAAGAGAACGAGCCAACGAGGUUACGCCAAGUUGCACUGUUGAAUUCGCCACGUUGAUCAAGCUUAAAAGAUUAAGUCAUACAAGUAUAUUUCUGUUCUGAUUAUAGAUUGAAUUUACGCGGAAAUUGUGUUUUUUCGCGCAUGAAAUGAGGCAACUUUUAUCUUAACCGUAAACAUUCGAUACGCGAUGAUUUCAAUAUUUUGCAGCGUUUAUUUGGACUACUAUACAUUAUAUUUGCAAAGUGGUUUGCAAAAUUAUCAUGUACGAAGAGUUUUGAAAUUUCUUAUUUUAUCUAGUGUAUUAAGAAUUUAAUAUUGCCUUGUUAACUUUUCAAUUACAAUUGCGUAAAUUUCCAUAACGUUAAUAUUUAUACCCUCUUUUUACUGCGCGAUAAAAAGUAAAGUAUGCCGUAACAUUACGCCAUUUUGCUUCAAUUUGGACGUAAGUAUAAAAAAGAAAAAAUUUUCAGAAGUGUACAUAUUUACACUAUAAGUAUAAAUAUAAUUAUACAAUAGACUCAUAGGACAAUUAUUCAGUAAAAAACUUGUAGAUAAAUUCGGUCUUUUAGAUUUUUGUGUUGAAUUUUCAACAUAUUCGAACGUUAAUUUAACUUAAUGUGAUUAUGUUAAAAUAAUGAUUAAUGUCAAUAAGUAAUUAUUUAUGUGUUUAAUAAGAAUUUUGAAUAUGUUGCGAAGAAUUGCGGUUUAUCUAUACUUGUAAUUUAUUUUAUACUGAAGACGGCCCGAAAUAGGGUCAAGGUUGAAACAUUUAUGUCACGUUAGGAAACUAUUGAUUUAUGCGUGUGAUAAUAAAUUGAAGUAUAAUUUUCCAUCCAAAAUCGAUUGUUAUUGGCAUUGAUCGUUAUUUUACUAGAUUUAUUUGUCAGAGUGAAUUUCUGCAUUGAUUGUGAUGACUGUAUUAUUUAAAUUGAUAGUCAACAUUUCUUAUUGUUGAAAAUAAUGUUAUCUUCGUCAAAAUUCGUUCUCUUGUCAUAAUAAGUUAUAGGAUAACACGAUGACGUUAUAUUGCUGACAAUGUAAAGUAACUUUAAAAUAACACCAUUUAUCGGUGAAUGAACACAAAUACAAAAGUAAUAUAAUUUUGAAACAUACAUUUUCUAAGAUAAUUAAACAGGCAUUGUACAUAAUAUUUUUGUUACUUUCUAACAUAUUUAUCUUGUGUUAAAUUAAUCUAAAAUAAAAAUUCGAACAACCUCUCCGAAAUUGGCGAUAUAUAUUUAAAUUUAACACAAUUUUUAAAACUGUGUAGGUCGUAUAAAAGUAAUGAUUAUUCAUCAGUCUUUAUUUAUAUAACAGAGUUGGAAGAUAUCAUUAGCAAAGAGAUUAUAAUAUUCGCUUUAUAUAAGAAUAUAUUUAUGUGAUAAAACUGGACGCAAUGCGUAACAGAAAUUCAAUCGAUAUUUUCUCGUAAUAAUAUAAUAGCAAUCGCGGUGUACUCUCCGCAUAUAAACUAUAGCGAGAUACAAACUCAUAUUCACAUCAUUAUUUACAUUAUGUGUGAAUUACUAUAUGGCGAAACACAUAAUGCGUUGAUGGCAAUAAUAAAAUAAAAACGG
rnacentral:lncRNA from 1 species